rnacentral:rRNA from 1 species
AGGUGCGAUCAUACCAGCUACUAAUGCACCGGAUCCACAUCAGAACUCCGCAGUUAAUCGUGCUUGGGCGAGAGUAGUUCUAGGAUGGGUGACCUCCUGGGAAGUCCUCGUGUUGCACCCC